GAGAAACUCUAGUGGAGGGAGAAAGCCAAGAACAGCAAGAAAGAACUUGCAUGGAUGGAAAUGCGAACAAAGAAAAGAGAGAUGCCAAGGAAAACGAUGGAAUUAGGAAGGAAACUUCGCCAAAAAAAUUCUGUAUGCUAAUCUCUUUGAAUUUGACCUAUUAUUUGGGGCCAA